AGAGUUGAUCCUGGCUCAGGAUGGACGCUGGCGGCGUGCUUAACACAUGCGAGUCGAACGGUGAAGUGAGGAGCUUGCUCCUUGCCGGAUCAGUGGCGAACGGGUGAGUAACACGUGAGUAACCUGCCCUUGAACUCUGGGAUAAGCGUUGGAAACGACGUCUAAUACCGGAUACGACCUUCGGAGGCAUCUCCUGAAGGGUGGAAAGAAUUUCGGUCAAGGAUGGACUCGCGGCCUAUCAGCUAGUUGGUGAGGUAAUGGCCCACCAAGGCGACGACGGGUAGCCGGCCUGAGAGGGUGACCGGCCACACUGGGACUGAGACACGGCCCAGACUCCUACGGGAGGCAGCAGUGGGGAAUAUUGCACAAUGGGCGCAAGCCUGAUGCAGCAACGCCGCGUGAGGGACGACGGCCUUCGGGUUGUAAACCUCUUUUAGUAGG
rnacentral:rRNA from 1 species